rnacentral:rRNA from 1 species
GACGAACGCUGGCGGCGUGCCUAAUACAUGCAAGUCGAACGCACAGUUUAUACCGUGGCUUGCUACACCAUAGACUGUGAGUUGCGAACGGGUGAGUAACGCGUAGGUAACCUGCCUGGUAGCGGGGGAUAACUAUUGGAAACGAUAGCUAAUACCGCAUAAUAUUGAUUAUUGCAUGAUAAUUGAUUGAAAGAUGCUAUUGCAUCACUACCAGAUGGACCUGCGUUGUAUUAGCUAGUAGGUGAGGUAACGGCUCACCUAGGCGACGAUACAUAGCCGACCUGAGAGGGUGAUCGGCCACACUGGGACUGAGACACGGCCCAGACUCCUACGGGAGGCAGCAGUAGGGAAUCUUCGGCAAUGGACGAAAGUCUGACCGAGCAACGCCGCGUGAGUGAAGAAGGUUUUCGGAUCGUAAAGCUCUGUUGUAAGAGAAGAACGGGUGUGAGAGUGGAAAGUUCACACUGUGACGGUAGCUUACCAGAAAGGGACGGCUAACUACGUG